rnacentral:rRNA from 1 species
UACGUAGGGUGCGAGCGUUAAUCGGAAUUACUGGGCGUAAAGGCGUGCGCAGGCGGUUCGUUGUGUCGGCGGUGAAAGCCCCGGGCUUAACCUGGGAAUGGCCGUUGAAACUGGCGAACUGGAGUGUGGCAGAGGGGGGUGGAAUUCCGCGUGUAGCAGUGAAAUGCGUAGAGAUGCGGAGGACACCGAUGGCGAAGGCAGCCCCCUGGGCUAACACUGACGCUCAGGCACGAAAGCGUGGGGAGCAAACAGG